CCCUUAGAUGUUCUGGGCCGCACGUGCGCUACACUGAUGCAUUCAACGAGUCUAAAACCUGCUCUGAUAGGGGUGGGUAAUCUUUUGAAUGUGCAUCGUGAUUGGGAUAGAUGAUUGCAAUUUUUCAUCUUCAACGAGGAAUGCCUAGUAAACGCAAGUCAUCAGCUUGCAUUGAUUACGUCCCUGCCCUUUGUACACACCGCCCGUCGCUCCUACCGAUUGAAUGAUCCGAUGAAUAUCAUGGAUUGAGGAUGCAAGUAGGUUAGCCUAUCUUCAUCUUCGAGAAGUGAAGUAAAUCUUAUCAUUUAGAGGAAGGAGAAGUCGUAACA
rnacentral:rRNA from 1 species